GACGAACGCUGGCGGCGUGCCUAAUACAUGCAAGUAGAACGCUGAAGGAGGAGCUUGCUCUUCUGGAUGAGUUGCGAACGGGUGAGUAACGCGUAGGUAACCUGCCUGGUAGCGGGGGAUAACUAUUGGAAACGAUAGCUAAUACCGCAUAACAGUAGAUGUUGCAUGACAUUUACUUAAAAGGUGCAAUUGCAUCACUACCAGAUGGACCUGCGUUGUAUUAGCUAGUUGGUGGGGUAACGGCUCACCAAGGCGACGAUACAUAGCCGACCUGAGAGGGUGAUCGGCCACACUGGGACUGAGACACGGCCCAGACUCCUACGGGAGGCAGCAGUAGGGAAUCUUCGGCAAUGGACGGAAGGCUGACCGAGCAACGCCGCGUGAGUGAAGAAGGGUGUCGGAUCGUAAAGCUCUGUUGUAAGAGAAGAACGAGUGUGAGAGUGGAAAGUUCACACUGUGACGGUAUCUGACCAGAAAGGGACGGCUAACUACGUG
rnacentral:rRNA from 1 species